GCUUCCGGCGAAGGGAUACUGUGGC
rnacentral:piRNA from 1 species